CACGUAGGGUGCGAGCGUUGUCCGGAAUUAUUGGGCGUAAAGAGCUCGUAGGCGGUGUGUCGCGUCGGCCGUGAAAACCUGCAGCUUAACUGUGGGCUUGCGGUCGAUACGGGCAUCACUGGAGUUCGGCAGGGGAGACUGGAAUUCCUGGUGUAGCGGUGAAAUGCGCAGAGUAUCAGGAGGAACACCGGUGGCGAAGGCGGUUCUCUGGGCAUUACCUGACGCUGAGGAGCGAAAGUGUGGGGAGCGAACAGG
rnacentral:rRNA from 1 species